rnacentral:tRNA from 1 species
GAGGCCAUAGUGUAAUUGGAGCACAUCUCAUUUUCGCUGAGAAAGUUAAUUGGUCUUA